CCUACGGGAGGCAGCAGUGGGGGAUAUUGCACAAUGGGGGGAACCCUGAUGCAGCGACGUCGCGUGAGCGAAGAAGUACCUCGGUAUGUAAAGCUCUAUCAGCAGGGAAGAAAAUGACGGUACCUGACUAAGAAGCCCCGGCUAAAUACGUGCCAGCAGCCACGGUAAUACGUAGGGUGCAAGCGUUAUCCCGAUUUACUGGGUGGAAAGGGAGCGCAGGCGGGCUGCCAAGUCUGGUGUGAAAACGCGGGGCCCAACCCCGGGCCUGCAGUGGAAACUGGCGGGCUGGAGUGUCGGAGGGGCAGGCGGAAUUCCUGGUGUAGCGGUGAAAUGCGUAGAUAUUAGGAGGAACACCGGUGGCGAAGGCAGCCUACUGGACGAUGACUGACGCUGAGGCUCGAAAGCGUGGGGAGCGAACAGGAUUAGAUACCCGAGUAGUC
rnacentral:rRNA from 1 species